rnacentral:rRNA from 1 species
UAAUACGUAGGGUGCGAGCGUUAAUCGGAAUUACUGGGCGUAAAGGGCUCGUAGGUGGCCAACUAAGUCAGACGUGAAAUCCCUCGGCUUAACCGGGGAACUGCGUCUGAUACUGGAUGGCUUGAGUUCGGGAGAGGGAUGCGGAAUUCCAGGUGUAGCGGUGAAAUGCGUAGAUAUCUGGAGGAACACCGGUGGCGAAGGCGGCAUCCUGGACCGACACUGACACUGAGGAGCGAAAGCCAGGGGAGCAAACGGGAUUAGAUACCCCGGUAGUCCUGGCCCUAAACGAUGAAUGCUUGGUGUGGCGGGUAUCGAUCCCUGCCGUGCCGAAGCUAACGCAUUAAGCAUUCCGCCUGGGGAGUACGGUCGCAAGGCUG